rnacentral:rRNA from 2 species
CGCUGGCGGCGUGCCUAAUACAUGCAAGUCGAACGAACUCUGGUAUUGAUUGGUGCUUGCAUCAUGAUUUACAUUUGAGUGAGUGGCGAACUGGUGAGUAACACGUGGGAAACCUGCCCAGAAGCGGGGGAUAACACCUGGAAACAGAUGCUAAUACCGCAUAACAACUUGGACCGCAUGGUCCGAGCUUGAAAGAUGGCUUCGGCUAUCACUUUUGGAUGGUCCCGCGGCGUAUUAGCUAGAUGGUGGGGUAACGGCUCACCAUGGCAAUGAUACGUAGCCGACCUGAGAGGGUAAUCGGCCACAUUGGGACUGAGACACGGCCCAAACUCCUACGGGAGGCAGCAGUAGGGAAUCUUCCACAAUGGACGAAAGUCUGAUGGAGCAACGCCGCGUGAGUGAAGAAGGGUUUCGGCUCGUAAAACUCUGUUGUUAAAGAAGAACAUAUCUGAGAGUAACUGUUCAGGUAUUGACGGUAUUUAACCAGAAAGCCACGGCUAACUACGUGCCAGCAGCCGCGGUAAUACGUAGGUGGCAAGCGUUGUCCGGAUUUAUUGGGCGUAAAGCGAGCGCAGGCGGUUUUUUAAGUCUGAUGUGAAAGCCUUCGGCUCAACCGAAGAAGUGCAUCGGAAACUGGGAAACUUGAGUGCAGAAGAGGACAGUGGAACUCCAUGUGUAGCGGUGAAAUGCGUAGAUAUAUGGAAGAACACCAGUGGCGAAGGCGGCUGUCUGGUCUGUAACUGACGCUGAGGCUCGAAAGUAUGGGUAGCAAACAGGAUUAGAUACCCUGGUAGUCCAUACCGUAAACGAUGAAUGCUAAGUGUUGGAGGGUUUCCGCCCUUCAGUGCUGCAGCUAACGCAUUAAGCAUUCCGCCUGGGGAGUACGGCCGCAAGGCUGAAACUCAAAGGAAUUGACGGGGGCCCGCACAAGCGGUGGAGCAUGUGGUUUAAUUCGAAGCUACGCGAAGAACCUUACCAGGUCUUGACAUACUAUGCAAAUCUAAGAGAUUAGACGUUCCCUUCGGGGACAUGGAUACAGGUGGUGCAUGGUUGUCGUCAGCUCGUGUCGUGAGAUGUUGGGUUAAGUCCCGCAACGAGCGCAACCCUUAUUAUCAGUUGCCAGCAUUAAGUUGGGCACUCUGGUGAGACUGCCGGUGACAAACCGGAGGAAGGUGGGGAUGACGUCAAAUCAUCAUGCCCCUUAUGACCUGGGCUACACACGUGCUACAAUGGAUGGUACAACGAGUUGCGAACUCGCGAGAGUAAGCUAAUCUCUUAAAGCCAUUCUCAGUUCGGAUUGUAGGCUGCAACUCGCCUACAUGAAGUCGGAAUCGCUAGUAAUCGCGGAUCAGCAUGCCGCGGUGAAUACGUUCCCGGGCCUUGUACACACCGCCCGUCACACCAUGAGAGUUUGUAACACCCAAAGUCGGUGGGGUAACCUUUUAGGAACCAGCCGCCUAAGGUGGGACAGAUGAUU